UUCUAAAGCUAAAUAUUUAUGGGAAACCGAUAGCAAACAAGUACUACGAAGGAAAGAUGAAAAGAACUUUGAAAAGAGGGUUAAAAGACUUGAAAUCGUUGAGAAGAAAAGCGGUAGAAGAGAAAUGAUUUCGUUUAGAAGUAUGUGGCGUUGUUGGCGUCUUCUGCGGUAAUGGUACUUCAUAGGGCCUAGCUGUAGACCGGCGUUGCAUAGUUACUUUUUCUAGGCGAAGUGCAAAAUGAGGUUUUGUUUACGGAAACGUCUCUGGGGAGCACUCUGGCCUUGAUGCUAGAAGCCCUGGUCUCCAACGUAAACUUAGCCUGAGGGCUGCAUCUGCAGAUUUUGCAAA
rnacentral:rRNA from 1 species